GUGAACGCUGGCGGUAGGCCUAACACAUGCAAGUCGAACGGCAGCACAGUAAGAGCUUGCUCUUACGGGUGGCGAGUGGCGGACGGGUGAGGAAUACAUCGGAAUCUACUUUUUCGUGGGGGAUAACGUAGGGAAACUUACGCUAAUACCGCAUACGACCUACGGGUGAAAGCAGGGGAUCUUCGGACCUUGCGCGAUUGAAUGAGCCGAUGUCGGAUUAGCUAGUUGGCGGGGUAAAGGCCCACCAAGGCGACGAUCCGUAGCUGGUCUGAGAGGAGAAUCGGCCAAAUGGGAACGGGAACAGGUUCCAAACUCUACGGGAGGGAGCAGGGGGGGAAAAUUGAAAAAGGGGGCAAGGCCGAACCCAGCAAUACGGGUGGGUGGAGGAAGGCUUUGGGUUGGAAAACCCCUUUUGUUGGGAAAGAAAAGCAGCAGGUUAAUACCCCGCUGUUCUGACGGUACCCAAAGAAUAAGCACCGGCUAACUUCGUG
rnacentral:rRNA from 1 species